rnacentral:rRNA from 1 species
CUAAUAUGCAAGUCGAACGCACAGCGAAAGGUGCUUGCACCUUUCAAGUGAGUGGCGAACGGGUGAGUAACACGUGGACCCUGCCUCAAGGCUGGGGAUAACAUUUGGAAACAGAUGCUAAUACCGAAUAAAACUUAGUGUCGCAUGACACAAAGUUAAAAGGCGCUUCGGCGUCACCUAGAGAUGGAUCCGCGGUGCAUUAGUUAGUUGGUGGGGUAAAGGCCUACCAAGACAAUGAUGCAUAGCCGAGUUGAGAGACUGAUCGGCCACAUUGGGACUGAGACACGGCCCAAACUCCUACGGGAGGCUGCAGUAGGGAAUCUUCCACAAUGGGCGAAAGCCUGAUGGAGCAACGCCGCGUGUGUGAUGAAGCUUUCGGGUCGUAAAGCACUGUUGUAUGGGAAGAACAGCUAGAAUAGGAAAUGAUUUUAGUUUGACGGUACCAUACCAGAAAGGGACGGCUAAAUACGUGCCAGCAGCCGCGGUAAUACGUAUGUCCCGAGCGUUAUCCGGAUUUAUUGGGCGUAAAGCGAGCGCAGACGGUUUAUUAAGUCUGAUGUGAAAGCCCGGAGCUCAACUCCGGAAUGGCAUUGGAAACUGGUUAACUUGAGUGCAGUAGAGGUAAGUGGAACUCCAUGUGUAGCGGUGGAAUGCGUAGAUAUAUGGAAGAACACCAGUGGCGAAGGCGGCUUACUGGACUGCAACUGACGUUGAGGCUCGAAAGUGUGGGUAGCAAACAGGAUUAGAUACCCUGGUAGUCCACACCGUAUACGAUGAACACUGGUGUUAGGAGGUUUCCGCCUCUUAGUGCCGAAGCUAACGCAUUAUGUUCCGCCUGGGAGUACGACCGCAUGGUGAAACUCAGGAAUUGACGGACCCGCACAAGCCUGGAGCAUGUGGUUUAAUUCGAAGAACGCAAAAACCUUACCAGGUCUUGACAUCCUUUGAAGCUUUUA